CUAGAACAAACAGAACGAACAUAAAUAUCCCCCUCUCCUCUCUCUCUGCGAUCCAGAUCGCAGGAUUCGUCCCUCCAUCUCCCGCGAUGCGCAGCACGAUCCCCACGCCCUCAGAUCACGAGGAAGGCGACGAGAGAGACCAGAGCGGCGACGGCCCACGCCCCCGGCUUGCCGCCAGGCAGCCCCGCGGCACCGCCAACGGCCGGCGCGGGGGCUGGGGCCAGGCUUCCCAGAAGUGCGUCCUCCUCCAGCUUCCUGCUGGCUGCCGCGGACGCGACCAGCGCGAGGAGCACCGCGGCGAGGAGGACGGCGACGGUCUUGGUCGAGGCGGCCAUGGAGACAGACGACGAGAAGGAGCUCUCUCUGAAGAUUGGGCGCCGGGCAAGCAAGAAACCGAGACCGCGGACUGGACUGGAGAGGGGGCUCGGCGGUCGGCUUCUUGGGCUCGCUGCGGCGCUCGAGGGGAAUUGGGAGUGUGCGGAUGCUGCUU
rnacentral:misc_RNA from 1 species